UACGUAGGGGGCUAGCGUUGUCCGGAAUCAUUGGGCGUAAAGAGCGUGUAGGCGGUCCGGUAAGUCCGCUGUGAAAGUCAAGGGCUCAACCCUUGGAUGCCGGUGGAUACUGCAGGGCUAGAGUCCGGAAGAGGCGAGUGGAAUUCCUGGUGUAGCGGUGAAAUGCGCAGAUAUCAGGAGGAACACCGAUGGCGAAGGCAGCUCGCUGGGACGGUACUGACGCUGAGGCGCGAAAGCGUGGGGAGGCAAACAGGA
rnacentral:rRNA from 1 species